rnacentral:rRNA from 1 species
AGGGAAUAUUGCGCAAUGGGGGAAACCCUGACGCAGCCAUGCCGCGUGUGUGAAGAAGGCCUUAGGGUUGUAAAGCWCUUUCAGUAGGGAGGAAUUAKUUKGAUUAAUAACCCAGCGAAAUGACGUUACCUACAGAAGAAGC